rnacentral:lncRNA from 1 species
AAAGAAAAAGAAGUGGAUUCUGCAAGGAAGCUUCUGCAUUGACUACACAGCUCUUCAAUGAAUCGACUAACGGAGUUCUGCCCGGAGGUCAACUCGACAAGAUGAAGUGCCGUCAAACAAUUCCUGGAGAUCCAAACAAAUUUCUGGGAGGCUCAAAUCAUCCGGAAGUUCGAGAAUUAUGCUACAAAGGCCCUCGAAUUAUGGAAAAGCUUAGGAGAGAAGAAUCGAGAGAAUAACGGAAUUGUACCCGAAAAAUUACUUUAAAUAAAAUUAUUCUUUUUGUUUAUUUUAUUUUUUGCUUGCAGUUAAUUUUCAGUGUUAAUGAAAAUUUGUUGCGAACACAGAUGUAGCCAUUGAAAACUGUAAUUGAUCACGGAGAUUGCAGAGAAGAAUGACCAAAACCUGUUGGUAGUGCCAAGAACUUGAGAGAAACAGAAUGUAAUCUACCAGAUUGUUGCAACCUGGAUUUGAUACCAUGAAGAAUAAUGGGAGUUUAUAUACUGUACUCCCUUGAUUAUACAGAAAUAGAUAGAACAGAGGAAAGGGAAAGAAGAAGAACACUGUAAGUGGAAGAAGAAGAAGUAG